UGGGGAAUAUUGGACAAUGGGCGAAAGCCUGAUCCAGCCAUGCCGCGUGUGUGAAGAAGGUCUUCGGAUUGUAAAGCACUUUAAGUUGGGAGGAAGGGCAUUAACCUAAUACGUUAGUGUUUUGACGUUACCGACAGAAUAAGCACCGGCUAACUCUGUGCCAGCAGCCGCGGUAAUACAGAGGGUGCAAGCGUUAAUCGGAAUUACUGGGCGUAAAGCGCGCGUGGGUGGUUUGUUAAGUUGGAUGUGAAAGCCCCGGGCUCAACCUGGGAACUGCAUCCAAAACUGGCAAGCUAGAGUACGGUAGAGGGUGGUGGAAUUUCCUGUGUAGCGGUGAAAUGCGUAGAUAUAGGAAGGAACACCAGUGGCGAAGGCGACCACCUGGACUGAUACUGACACUGAGGUGCGAAAGCGUGGGGAGCAAACA
rnacentral:rRNA from 1 species